rnacentral:sRNA from 1 species
UCCAGGAAGAACACCCUUCACCGACUGA